rnacentral:tRNA from 1 species
GGUGAGAUGGCUGAAUCGAGGCGAUAGACUGUAAAUCUAUUUAUGAGGGUGAACCCCUCUCUUACCA